rnacentral:tRNA from 1 species
UUAGCUCAGUUGGGAGAGCAUCGCCCUUACAAGGCGAGGGUCACUGGUUCAAGUCCAGUAUCACCCACCA